UGUGCAGCCCUAAAAAAUGUUUGUCAGCUCCCCCUUGCAGCAGGGGUUUGCCAAUGAAAUAAAAAUGAUGGGCUGGGACUUCUAGGAAAGUUCCUUCAAGAGGGCUGCCUCCGCUGAGAAAUGAGUUAUUUUCCUCUCUCCCCCCUUCAUCCUCCUUGUUCCUGACUGGAAUAUGGUUGUGAUUGCUGGAGCUCGAGUAGCCAUUUUGUGACAUGAUGUGACCCUGAGUUUGGGAGGCCCAAGUUUAAACAGCAGGUAAGUUCUAGAGCCACGCAUUGGACUUGUUUGGUUUUUUUGAGAGAGAGCACGAGCAGAAGAGAGUGGGAAAGGGAGAUAAAGAAUCCCAAGCCGACUCCACACUCCACAUCAGCUAAAUCCGACAUGGGGCUCUAUCCCACAACCCUGGAAUUAUGACCUGAAUUAAAAUCAAGAGUGGACACUCAACUGAGCCACCCAGGUGCCCCUGGACUUUUGAUUCUAAAACCUAUAUUCUUCACCCUUUGUAACCCUUUCCUCCUCAAGAUACACACACACAGAGCUGAAACAAAACAGGGAGCCUUGUGGGGUUAAGUAGGGCUUCUUGCGGGAUGGAAGGCCUCCGUGAGUGCAGAGAAGGUUCCUGCCACAUGAGCUCAGCCCCACACUCAGGGAGGAGACGGGCCAGACGACAGCAAUUCUCGUUCUACUGAUGGUCCUAAAAUCAAGUUCUCAUUUCUUCUCUGACUGCAACCAGAUAAAAUUACACAGUGCUAGCAACUUAUAAAUAGAAGAAAAUAAAUGGGGAGAAAUGAACACAUUAAGCCAUGAGCCACCAGGAGAAAUCAGAGGAGGGGAUUUGCUUUGUUGGUAUUUCUUUCAUUCUGCCAACACCAUGGCUAAAACUCUCUGUGCUCUGCACCUGCUGUGCGUGGUCCCGGUGACCCCUGGUGCCCUGCACCUGCCAUGUGUGGUCCCCGGUGACCCCCCGAGCCCUGCACCUGCUGUGCAUAGACCCUGGUGACCCCCCCCGUGUCCUGCACCUGCUGUGCAUGGACCCCGGUGACCCCCCGUGCCCUGCACCUGCUGCAUGUGGACCCCCAUGAGCCUCUGGCUCCACCCCUUUCUCACAUCAGCUGAAUCCAAAAUGAAAAUGCAGAGCAUCUUACUCUGGAACUUGAUCUGCACUUGGGACAGUCUGCUCCGAUGCUGAGUCCACAAAGUGACACACAAACCAG
rnacentral:lncRNA from 1 species